UUCCUUCAGUUUCUUUUCUUUCUUUCCUGUUUAUGUGUGCACAGCUUGCAGAAUCUUAGUUCGCUGACCAGGGAUGAACCUGGGGCCCACUGGUGGUGAAGACUCAGAGUCCUACCCACUGGACUGCCAGGGAAUUCCGAGUUCCUUCAUUCUCUCCUUCCCAAAGAACAUGGGUCUGGGGGGAAAGAGAAAGAUGAGGUGAUGACAACCCCGGGUACUCUCCAUUACAGUUUACCAAGUUGUACGGUGAGUUCUUCGUUUAUUAUUAUUCUCCCAGCAGUCUCAAUGCCCUUCCCUGGGAACAAACUUCCACCAUUACUGCUCUGGCUCCCAAAGUCCAUCAGGCACAGGGAGGUUCGGAUAUGGUUAGGCCCGGGGUUUGGGGGCUUAAAUAACCAGAAGACGAGCUUAUAAACACAGUUAGAUGCAGAGACCUUUGGAAGAAACUUGCGCAAGAGAAAGGCCCCAAAGCUUAAGCUUCAUUAGUUUCAUGGGAAUCAGCCUCUGAUCAAACAGGUCUGUAUAUGUCUAAGCUCCAAUUACAGACAUAUGCUUAGUUCCCAUGGGGCUCCUGAGCCUCAGGCUAAUCAGAGGACUUGGUUGAUUCCUGUGUAACAAAACCUAAGCAUUUAAUGGUUGAAGAGGCUCGCCUGCCUUGAAACUGGUAAUGGGGGAGGAGCUACAGGCUCCUUGCACAUUGAAGAUAAGUUUUGACCCUGCACUCACAUACUUAUCUUUGAACUCGAUUUCUUCAGUGAGUUGAAAGCCUUCGAUCUACAAACAUGGAAACGCCCACUUAGAGAUGAUACUAAUUAUUCCUAUUUAAUUACAUCAAGAACAAAAUUCAAUUAAAUUCUUACUCUAAAAAUCAGAAAAGUAAAAUUGCUUUUCAAAAUCAGGGUAAAAUCUCUUAAAAAAUAUAAAGUGCUUGCUUGACAAAGAAGACGACUGCAGAGGGUAGUACUUUUGAGUUUCUUUUGUAUAGCUUCUUGAAAUUUUAUUUUUCCCACGUAGUUUGUUUCAGGACGUAUUAGCGGUGGACUUGGCUUUAGUACAACAUUCACUCGACAAAUCCAGCUCAGCGUUAAGUGAACUGCUCUGUAGUUAGGGGAAGUUACUAAGAGAGUUACUAAAUUAGGAGUGAAGGGAAGUUACUAAUUGAUUAAAGAGAAAGUUUGUAGAGAACAGCCACGCCCACGAAGAACCUUGACCUAAGACGAAAAGGGCCCCUAAGAGGCAUGAGGUGGCUUCCUGAUUUGUGCUGGGCCUUGAAGGAAAUAGGUGAAUAAAAUAUAUUAAGAAUUAUUCCAAGUUGGAGAAAGUCAGCCACUGCCACUUUACACACACACACAGCAAAGGGCUUUCCCACAGCAAACUCGGCACAAUCCAAGGGCAGGAGGAUUCCACGAAGCGUUCCAGAGUACU
rnacentral:lncRNA from 1 species